GUAGGUGGCAAGCGUUGUCCGGAAUUAUUGGGCGUAAAGCGCGCGCAGGCGGUUCUUUAAGUCUGAUGUGAAAGCCCACGGCUCAACCGUGGAGGGUCAUUGGAAACUGGAGAACUUGAGUACAGAAGAGGAAAGCGGAAUUCCACGUGUAGCGGUGAAAUGCGUAGAGAUGUGGAGGAACACCAGUGGCGAAGGCGGCUUUCUGGUCUGUAACUGACGCUGAGGCGCGAAAGCGUGGGGAGCAAACAGGGAUUAGAUACCCUGGUAGUCCACGCCGUAGACGAUGAGUGCUAAGUGUUAGGGGGGUUUCCGCCCCCCUUAGUGCUGCGGCUAACGCAUUAAGCACUCCGCCUGGGGAGUACGGCCGCAAGGCUG
rnacentral:rRNA from 1 species